rnacentral:sRNA from 1 species
UUUGGGAAAUUAGAGAUGCA